UCAUCUUUUUUAUAGACACCAAUUCUUUUCACAUAUUCUUAAGUGUUCUUGUGCUAUUCAAGGCUUGUUAAACACUUUGAAUUCACAAGAUAAGGCAAUCACUUGCCAAAAUGAAAGCAGCUAAGAGAUUGACCUGAGACGUUUAGGUGAUUUUAACUUAAAGAUGGGGAAGAAAGCCAACAUGGGAAGCCAAAAUGAGCAACCAUUGAUAGCCCCUACAUUCAAUUGUUUAGUCUUUGCAUUGUGAAAUGGCAAAGAAGAAGGGAACAUUCAACCCAAAGACAAGUCGAAGAGAUGAAUCAAAAUCCAAGAGAAUACGCAGCUUGUAAUAAUCGAAAUCCGGUCUUUGUUGCUAAAGACAGACAUCGAGUGAUUAGGCAGUAUGUUGUGCCUUUGUUUAGUGAACUCAAUCCUGGAACUGUAAGACCCGAGAUUGAGGAUCCUCAGUUCGAGUUAAAACUGGUGAUGUUCUAGAUGUUGCAAACAAUGGGUCAUUUUAGUGGAAUGCUUAUUGAAGAUCUACAUUUGCACCUCCGCUUAUUUUGGUUGAAUUCCUUACCUCCCCAUUCUGUUUCCAAAUGACAAGAAUUGCAGAA